rnacentral:rRNA from 1 species
AUACGUAGGGUGCGAGCGUUGUCCGGAAUUACUGGGCGUAAAGAGCUCGUAGGUGGUUUGUCGCGUCGUCUGUGAGAUUCCGGGGCUUAACUCCGGGCGUGCAGGCGAUACGGGCAUAACUUGAGUACUGUAGGGGAGACUGGAAUUCCUGGUGUAGCGGUGAAAUGCGCAGAUAUCAGGAGGAACACCGGGGGCGAAGGCGGGUCUUGGGGCAGUAACUGACGCUGAGGAGCGAAAGCAUGGGUGGCGAACAGGAUUAGAUACCCUGGUAGUCCAUGCCGUAAACGGUGGGCGCUAGGUGUAGGGGUCUUCCACGACUUCUGUGCCGUAGCUAACGCAUUAAGCGCCCCGCCUGGGGAGUACGGCCGCAAGGCUAAAACUCAAAGGAAUUGACGGGG